rnacentral:tmRNA from 1 species
UAAAACUUUAGGAAAUCGCUACUUACAUCCCUGAUGGUCGGGUGGUAGGCGGCUAACUCAAAUAGACCAAGCUAAGCAUGUAGACUCUUUGUUUGAAGGUUUUCGGACGCGGGUUCGAUCCCCGCCAUCUCCACCA